AUUGAACGCUGGCGGCAGGCUUAACACAUGCAAGUCGAGCGAGCGGCGGAAGGGUGAGUAAUGUCUGGGACACUGCCUGAUGGAGGGGUAUAACUACUGGAAACGGUAGCUAAUACCGCAUACCAUCGGAUGUGCCCAGAUGGGAUUAGCUCGUAGGUGGGGUAAAGGCUCACUUAGGCGACGAUCCCUAGCUGGUCUGAGAGGAUUACCAGCAAAACUGGAACGGAGACACGGUCCAGACUCCUACGGGAGGCAGCAGUGGGGAAUAUUGCACAAUGGGCGCAAGCCUGAUGCAGCCAUGCCGAGUGUAUGAAGAAGGCCUUCGGGUUGUAAAGCACUUUCAGUGGGGAGGCGUUACCCGCAGAAGAAGCACCGGCUAACUCCGUGCCAGCAGCCGCGGUAAUAC
rnacentral:rRNA from 1 species